CUCCUCGCGCUCGCUGCUUCAGCCUGCGCGCGCUGGUUUCCGUGUUCUCGGCUAGUUGUGCAGCAGCGGCGGCGCUCGGGCUUCUCGCCCGCGUGCUGCGUUAUUUCUCCCCGCGAGGGCCACGCGUGACGCGACUCCCCGGCGGCUCGAGCUCUUCGUCCACCGCGGCCGAACGGGCGCGGCGAAGCGGAGACGGCGGCGUGUGCGCGGGGAAUUCUUCAUUCUUCAGAGAAGAAUGUAUUUUCAUCGGACCACCAGCUGCCUCGGAGCUGAGGCGAGGACAGUAUCGCUGCGGCAGGCCCAUCCUGUAGGGCCCUAGUUUCGGACCACUGACCUCCGUGACCUUCCAGUGAAGAUGGCGACCCAGAGGAGGCACCUGGUCAGAGACUUUAACCGGUACAUCACCUGCUCCAUGUGCCACGGCUACUUGAUCAAACCCACCGCCGUCACUGAAUGCCUGCACACAUUCUGUAAGAGCUGCAUUGUCCAGCACUUUGAGGAGAGCAACGAGUGUCCUGAAUGUGGCAUUCAGGUCCAUGAAACCAACCCUUUAGAAAUGCUGAGGUUGGAUAAAACGUUGGAGGAAAUCAUCUUUAAGUUGGUUCCUGGUCUUCGAGAGAAGGAGGAACAACAAGAAAUUGAUUUCUGGAGGAAGAAUAAAUCCAAAGCAAAUGGGGAAGAAGGCCCCAGGCCCAAGAAGAUUCGGAUCAGCGAAGAAGAUGAUGAGCAAGAUGAUCGAAGGGGAGGUGAUUACCACAGGAGUGACCCGCAGAUCGCCAUAUGCCUGGACUGCCUGCGAAACAACGGCCAAUCAGGAGAGAGCAUAGUAAAGGGUCUGAUGAAGAAGUUUAUCCGAUGCUCCACCCGUGUCACUGUAGGCACCAUUAAGAAGUUUCUCUGUGUUAAGCUGAAGUUGCCAAGCUCUUAUGAGCUUGAUGUUCUGUGUAAUGGGGAAAUCAUGGGGAAGGACCACACCCUGGAAUUCAUCUACCGAACUCGCUGGAGACUGCAGGGAGACAGUGCGUAUCCCAUGGUUCUGGAGUACCGGCCCCGCAUCGACUUCGGCUAAACCCAAAGCGGUCAGGGCACGCUCGUUGGUCUGAGGCUGACCGAACUCAUACAGUGGACAGUGUGCCUCCUCAGAAAUACAGCCACCCAGCCUGACUGGCUGCACUUCUGCUCCCACCCAACCUCUUCCUGGUCCGUCCCUCGCUUGUUUUGGAGUGACAGGCUUGGAUCCACCCCUCAGCGACAUGUAUGGCUACUUCUCUAAGUAAGACUUCUGUUGCUUGCUGUCUCCAUGACGACACAUCAGCGCGAGAUGGCCCGUUGGGAGUUUGCUGCCGAGGACAAACAGGGUUGUGAUGGACGAAAAACAAAAAGCACUUAAAAAAAAUGCACUUCAGCCGAGAUAAAAGACAGAUGAAAGCGAUGUUGUCUUGCAGGGUCCCCCCUAAACGUGGAGCCUAGGCAGGAGAAUCGUUUCGUAAGGAAUGGACUGAAGGAAACGGCUCAAGAUGGCUUGGGAAGACGUCUGGUUCCAUUGACUUGCAUUAAAUGUGAAGUAGGUUUUUCUCUUCUCCUGUAAAGUUAUGAUUUUGGAGAUAUGAGGUUUGUUCCGACUGCAGCAUAGUGAAAGGCCACUCUUGUGACAAUUUGGACACUGAAUGAAAUGACACUGUUAUGCUUCUUUAGAACAUCUGCUGUUGGUUUGUUAUUUUGUGAAUGCACGAAACAUCCUGAGAGUGAACAAAUAAGAGCCUCUGAAAUGGUGCCAGACUUCAUAAAAGAGAUUUGGCUUCUAUUAAAUUACACUUACAGCGCCCCCUCCUGGGAGGAUUCAAAAGGUACAGGUAGACUUUCCUACAGAUUUGGCGCUGGAGUGAUUCAGAAUUUUCCCGUUCCACCUUAAAUGGUGCAGCAGUUACAUUCUGGCGCUUCAGUCGUGGAAUCUGAAGUGGACCUCUGGACGCCUCCCUAGGGAGGUGUUCCAGACAUGUCAGACGGGGAGGGGACCCCAGGGAGACCCAGGACACGUUGGAGGGAUUAUAUCUCUCGACUGUCUUGGGAACGCCUCGGUAUCCCUCCGGAAGAG